rnacentral:lncRNA from 7 species
UUCUUAGCCAUCGGUGCUGCUAAUGAGAAUGGUAACCACGAAACAGGCCAUCAGUCAGUGAUGCAAAAAUUUGAAUUUGAAUUCAAGGAACCGAAGUACAGGAGCAUCUGGGAGAAGCGCUAGCUGCACAGCUGAGAGCAGACAUCACAAAUGAACCCACUAUACAAGAGUGUUUUUAUCCAUAGUAUCUUGCGUUAUUAGGCGGUGCGGUUGGACAUGGAUGUCCAUGUCCUACGCGAGUGAGCUGAGAACCGUCCGUCGUCUUCGUCGUCCCUGUUGAUUAGCGCUAAGCGCGCCGCGUAGACCUAUAGCGCCAGGAGUGAUGGGUUGGUUAGAUUAAUGGCUCCGGUGCAGAGGGGCUCUGACGCCGGUGCUCCGCCCGACGAUUUGACCGGCCAUUUUCCUUCCGCGUCUGGCCCUGGCCGAGCCGUCCCGGCCCAUGACCGACCGGGAUCACGUGCCGCCCCACCUCGCACCGCUCGCGCCC